rnacentral:rRNA from 1 species
ACUCCUACGGGAGGCAGCAGUGGGGAAUAUUGGACAAUGGGCGAAAGCCUGAUCCAGCCAUGCCGCGUGUGUGAAGAAGGUCUUCGGAUUGUAAAGCACUUUAAGUUGGGAGGAAGGGCAGUUACCUAAUACGUAAUUGUUUUGACGUUACCGACAGAAUAAGCACCGGCUAACUCUGUGCCAGCAGCCGCGGUAA